UCCAUGAAUAGGUGCCAAUGCUACACUUCCUUAGCUAGGAGCUAGCAAUGCUACGUGGAAUUGCAUGUCGAAAAUAUUUAAAAAGUCAACCUGCCAUCUCUCCUGCCCUGCUCGUCCAAGUUCCCACUCUAGUUCCAGUACUGGCAGGCUUCACCACUAUAUCCCAGCAGGGUCCUGCUUGGCAUGUUCUCCCAGGUAUCUUCUGAGAGGUUGUUCUCUCUCCACUUCUCAUUCAAGUCUGAAGAUGCUUACAGUCACCUGCAGUACUUCUAAAUCAGAUUUAUACCCCAUGGCAUAAAACAAAGCAACGUAGAAAAUCUCUGACUGCUCCAUAAUGCUGACUUCACAAAGUCCCCAGCCACCCACAGGAUCUCUCAAAGUUGUCAUCUGGAGGAUAGGGGAGCUUUGGGGAAAAAAUCAGAGCCCCUCAAUUACCAAUUCUGACAACUCUUAUUUUAGCUUGAAUCUCCCCAUGCAAAUAGACAGUUGACAUGUGAUUGGAGAAGAAAUAGAAGUAUGUUUCUAUUAAAACCAUGUUCCUUAAGUUGUCGCUCUGAAUUUAUAUCCCUCUGGCCUUUGCCAAGUUGGCUCUGGGCUAUAUUCUGUCCUGAAAUUAGAGCAUUCUUCUUGUAGCCCCAGGAGAUGCCUAAGAUCCUUGAAGAUGAAAACCAGACUCUGAACCAUAGCUUUGGGAAUUAGGGGAGUCCAAAGUGUAACUUCCCUAUGCAACAUGCUUGGGAUAACCCAGCUUUCCUUUGCACUUCUGAUUAGAGUUUUGAGAUGGAAGAGGUCACAGCUCCAAUGAUCUCAGCCGAAGAAGAUGAGGAAGAAGACCAGCACAAGUGCUACGACUCAGUGACCUCAUGGGAAACCGUGGGGAGAGAUAGCAUUCAAGAAGGAACAUGGGGAAGAGUAUCCAGAGUACAGAGUGGAAGCCUUUGCCCUCCUCUUUCAGCUCUCCAAGGAAUGUCUUCCUGCCCGGUGUCCUGGACAACUGCCUGUCUUUAGAAUUAACAAAUGCUCUGACUUGCAGAGUCUCUCUCAAAUCAGCUUUUGCUGGUAUCAGGAUUUCUCUGGAGGACUCAACAAAGUCCUCUCCAUGCCUGAGAUUCCUACAAUGAUUGAAAUUCCAUUGUUUCUUCCCCGUGGCAUCCAGCCCACUGUACGCUGUGGCAUUUGGACAGGUAAGUGAUCCUGGGUGAUGUAAGAAAGCGGACUGAGCAGUCUAAGGUGAGCAAGCCAGUAAGCAGCACUCCACCACAGCUCCUGCUUCUGUUCCUACCUCCAGGUUCUUGCCUCGAGUUCCUGCUCUGCCUUCAUUUCACUAUACCUAGAAGCUGAAAUAAACUAUUUCCUCCACAAGUUGUUUUUGGUCACAACAUUUAUAUCAGUGAUAGAAAUUAAACCUAGGCAGAUGCUGAGCCAUGUUCUGUCUAGCUGAUUUCCCAGAACAAUUCAUUUCACCUCUGAGCUUCAUUCAGUCUCUUCAAAUGGAAAGCAAGCCUGUAGAAAACAAGCCAUAAUUUUCAUUCUGAGCUGUCCUUUAGAGCCUUUGAGUAAGGCCCAGGCACUGGUAUUUUUAAAUGCCUUCCAAGUGAUCUAAAUGCCAGGAUUCAGUGCUGUUGAGAAGGUACAAACGGUAAUAUAUCAUCUGGUAUAAAGGAUGUCCAGUAUGACUGGGAUUGAUGCUGCUGUUGUAGUAACAACAGUGGUAAAAGAUCCCCAUCGAUCUGCUCACAUUUGUAGCACACGGAACAGUAACAAGUGUACUGAGUGCUGCACUGUGCUGGAUUGGUAGAUAUUGUUCCACAGUAGCACAAUCUGAUUAUAUAGAAUUGGAGUGGUUGGUAAAGAGUCAUUUUGAAUUUGUUUCAGUACCUUGAGCUUAAAAUGCUAAUUAUUUUGAUGGAUUAUCAAAAUGUCUGAGAGCUAGAGACUGACUCUUAAAUCCCUCUGUUAUAGCAGCUUUGGGGUCCUAAGCCAAGCUCUCUCAACUCCGUUGAAGCUCUAGACUUGAGCUUCUCCAGCUUUGUUCCUGGAAAGCCCUGUACCCAACUGAUGAGAGCCACCUCGUUUUUCUAUGUUUCUGGAUCUCUAUUGGAAGAAGCAGCUGCUGAUUUUCAUAGGCUGAUCCCACCCAAAGCUACCUACAGUGUGCAAUCCUGUACCCAGAGAGGCUGCUUAGAAAACAAGAAUGUGUGUGUGUGUGCAUACAUGCAUGCAUGUGUGUGCGUGUGCGUGUGCGUGUGCGUGUGCGUGUGUGUGUGUGUGUGUGUGUGUGUGUAUGUAAACAUAUAUUCCAGGCAAGCCAUUCUUCCGAGAGCCAUAGAGCUGCAUCUGGAGCUCCAGAAAAUCUAUGGCUUGGGACAGUUUCCAAGGCCAGGCAAAAGUCCAAAGGGCACGUUACCCCCAGAGAGCAACUGGGCAGCUUCCUAAGUUAGGGAACAGGGAUGGGAAUGAUGGUGGCUAAUAUACUCAGACCUGGGAGGGUUGAAGUCCAGAAAUCUGCCCUAAAUGUAGCCACUCAGAGGCCAAGCAUCCAUCCAAUACAGUGGUUCUCGACCUUCCUAAUGCUGCAACCCUUUAACACAGUUCCUCAUGGUGUGGCCACCCCCAGCCAUAAAACUGUUUUCAUUGCUAAUUCAUAACUGUAAAUUUCUACUUUUAUGAAUAAUAAUGUAAAUAGCCAUAUUUUUGAUGGUCUUGACAACCCCUGUGAAAGGGUCUUUAAAUCCCCAAAAGAGCCUUGGCCCACAAGUUGAGAACUUCUUAUCUAGUGGAUGCUUGCGGUGGCAGCCAUGUCUCAAAAAUACCAGAGAAGCAUCCUCAAGACAACCCAUAUAGCCAGAACUUGCAAAAUUAAAAAAUAAAAUACCCAGAAAGGAAACAUUUCAAACUUCCAAAUAAGUGGUUAGCAGUAUUCUGCUCAGCUUGGUUUUUCCCUUUCAACUUCCUUUGAGGUACAGGGUACCUCAAUUUUGUAAGCAAAAGCAGAGGGAUGAUAUCUAAAGCCUCUUAUCCCCUUUCUACAGCCUUUAUCCCAAGACAAAGAUCUGUUUUAAAAAUAGCAAUUGUCUUAAAUAUGGUCCCUGAUGAAUCACAAGUGACAAGACUGGAGGAUGGUGACACUGGCUCCCAAGACACAUGUACUCUGUUGCUGAUCUAGUUCUCCAAGUAGGUAGGGCCUCUGUCUACCACUGGGAAUCAAGUGCUCUGGCUUAUUGGCAUUAGGUGAUGGAUGUUAUAAGGAUCCACUCAUAUCUACUACAUGAGCAGAGGGAAGACAAAGGGCUUGAAACCUUUUAGCCCUAAACAUACAGAGUCCCAGUCUCUACCUACAGUUUGAAACUUCCCCUCUGCUACUUCACACAUGCAAAUGAAAGGCAUAUUUAUACAUGGCACACAUACUUGAAUGUAUCCCAGAUUUUUUGAAACCACAAUCAAUUUCUAGGUAAAGAUAAAUGUAGUGAAAGGUACCAUAAUGAUAUUUAUGUGUCUCAACCUGAAAUGAGCCAGCUGGAUGAGAACAAAUCACUAUUAGCUUAGGACUGGCAAUGCCACUGUUCAGUAGACAGGACAUUUGGAGCCAGCCACUGGAAGGGUUCUUUUUUCAGAUAUUCGGGAAACUGGGUCUAAGCAGUGAUCAUUAAGGUAGGACACAUGUGUUUGCUGUUGUUGUUGUUGUUUUGUUUUCUAAGAAUGCCUGUACUUUAUACACAUCAGAGCCUAUUAUUCUGUAACAUUAAAGUCAUUCAGUUGCCUUCCAGUUAAAAUUUGUCUGCAUGAGGCUGGAGAGAUGGCUCAGCGGUUAAGAGCACUGACUGCUCUUCCAGAGGUCCUG